UGCCAGCCGCCGCGGUAAUACGUAGGGAGCGAGCGUUAUCCGGAAUUAUUGGGCGUAAAGCGCGUGUAGGCGGUUCGUUAAGUCUGAUGUGAAAUCCCGGGGCUCAACCCCGGAACUGCCUUUGAUACUGUUGGUCUUGAAUACGGUUGAAGUAGGCGGAAUGUAGCAUGUAGCGGUGAAAUGCAUAGAGAUGCUACAGAACACCGAUCGCGAAGGCAGCUUACUAAGCCGAUAUUGACGCUCAGGCACGAAAGCGUGGGGAGCGAACAGGAUUAGAUA
rnacentral:rRNA from 1 species